rnacentral:misc_RNA from 1 species
UUAACUAUUUAUAAUACUCGGACAUCACUAAUAAAAGAGUUUGGGUCCUCUGGCGGGCGCGAUCAGCCAGGGCCGACGUCUAAAAGAACGGCCCGCCAAAGCAACAAAAGUAAAUAAACAUAGGGUAUAUGAUAUCUCCCUUUCCAGUCUGUUGCGUUUUAUAGCAAGAGACCGGUCCAGUUACAUUAAUGAUCCUUCCGCAGGUUCACCUACGGAAA